AAUCCAUGAUAAGGGAACUAUCUUUGUAAGCUCUUAAAUCUAUCCCAUGUUUCAAAUAAUGAUUCUCCAUUUGCCUGAGCAAAAUUUGUGAUGCAAUUUCUCAUGUA